rnacentral:sRNA from 1 species
AGGGUGAUGUGGUUGCAACUUGUGUCACCCUAUUGAUCCCCAGGGUUGAGUAGGUUGACCUGGCAGGCUAGGCUGGUUUCUCCUUCCCCCCU